UACGUAGGGGGCAAGCGUUGUCCGGAUUUAUUGGGCGUAAAGAGCGUGUAGGCGGCUUUGCAAGUCCGUUGUGAAACUCGAGGCUCAACCUCGAGACGCCGGUGGAAACUGCAAAGCUAGAGUCCGGAAGAGGAGAGUGGAAUUCCUGGUGUAGCGGUGAAAUGCGCAGAUAUCAGGAAGAACACCGUGGCGAAGGCGGCCGGCCUGGCCGGAUCCGAC
rnacentral:rRNA from 1 species